rnacentral:rRNA from 1 species
GACGAACGCUGGCGGCGUGCUUAACACAUGCAAGUCGAACGGAAAGGCCCUGCUUUUGUGGGGUGCUCGAGUGGCGAACGGGUGAGUAACACGUGAGUAACCUGCCCUUGACUUUGGGAUAACUUCAGGAAACUGGGGCUAAUACCGGAUAGGAGCUCCUGCUGCAUGGUGGGGGUUGGAAAGUUUCGGCGGUUGGGGAUGGACUCGCGGCUUAUCAGCUUGUUGGUGGGGUAGUGGCUUACCAAGGCUUUGACGGGUAGCCGGCCUGAGAGGGUGACCGGCAAAAUGGGGAUAGAAGUAAGGGAGGGACUGAGGCGGGAGGAGGCAGGGGGGGAUAGGGGAAGAUGGGUGGAAGAAGGAGGCAGGAAAGCGGCUGGGGGGAGGAGGGGGGGGGGGUGGUAAACAGAGAUAGACGGGGAAGAAGGGUGAGAGAAGGGGAUGGGUAAAAGAGAAGAGGAGAGGUAAGUG